CCUACGGGUGGCAGCAGUGGGGAAUAUUGGACAAUGGGGGCAACCCUGAUCCAGCCAUGCCGCGUGUGUGAAGAAGGCCCUCGGGUUGUAAAGCACUUUCAGUGAGGAAGAACGCCUGUUGGUUAAUACCCAUCAGGAAAGACAUCACUCACAGAAGAAGCACCGGCUAACUCCGUGCCAGCAGCCGCGGUAAUACGGAGGGUGCGAGCGUUAAUCGGAAUUACUGGGCGUAAAGCGCGCGUAGGUGGCUUGAUAAGCCGGUUGUGAAAGCCCCGGGCUCAACCUGGGAACGGCAUCCGGAACUGUCAAGCUAGAGUGCAGGAGAGGAAGGUAGAAUUCCCGGUGUAGCGGUGAAAUGCGUAGAGAUCGGGAGGAAUACCAGUGGCGAAGGCGGCCUUCUGGACUGACACUGACACUGAGGUGCGAAAGCGUGGGUAGCAAACAGGAUUAGAUACCCUUGUAGUC
rnacentral:rRNA from 1 species